AUUGCUUCUCAGCCUUUUGGCUACGAUCAAGUGUAGUAUCUCUUCUUAUCAGUUUAAUAUGUCCUCUGUCUGAGGACAAUAUAUUAAGUAGAUUUUGGGAAUUAGGAGAUGGAAUAAGGAGCUUGCUUCAUCCACUCCACACAUCAACCUGGGAUUGCAGUACCUCCAGGAAGGCUGUAUGGUGG